UACAGGGGGUGCGAGCGUUAAUCGGAAUUACUGGGCGUAAAGCGCGCGUAGGCGGCUUUGCAAGUCGGGUGUGAAAUCCCCAGGCUUAACCUGGGAACUGCAUUCGAGACUGCAUUGCUAGAGUAUGGGAGAGGGAAGUGGAAUUUCCGGUGUAGCGGUGAAAUGCGUAGAUAUCGGAAGGAACAUCAGUGGCGAAAGCGACUUCCUGGACCAAUACUGACGCUCAUGUGCGAAAGCGUGGGGAGCAAACAGG
rnacentral:rRNA from 1 species